rnacentral:tRNA from 2 species
GGCGGCGUAGCUCAGUUGGCUAGAGCACGCGGUUCAUACCCGCGGUGUCAGCGGUUCGACUCCGUUCGCCGCUACCA